rnacentral:rRNA from 1 species
GAUGAACGCUGGCGGCGUGCCUAAUACAUGCAAGUCGAGCGAACAAAUGAGGAGCUUUCUCCUCUGCCGUUAGCGGCUGACGGGUGAGUACCACGUGGAUAACCUACCUAUACGACUGGGAUAACUUCGGGAAACCGGAGCUAUUACCGGAUAAUAUAUUGAACCGCAUGGUUCCAUAGUGAAAGCCGUUUUUUCUGUCACUUAUAGAUGGAUCCGCGCCGCAUUAGCUAGUUGGUAAGGUAACGGCUUACCAAGGCAACGAUGCGUAGCCGACCUGAGAGGGUGAUCGGCCACACUGGAACUGAGCCACGGUCCAGACUCCUACGGGAGGCAGCAGUAGGGAAUCUUCCGCAAUGGGCGAAAGCCUGACGGAGCAACGCCGCGUGAGUGAUGAAGGUCUUCGGAUCGUAAAACUCUGUUAUUAGGGAAGAACAAAUGUGUAAGUAACUAUGCACGUCUUGACGGUACCUAAUCAGAAAGCCACGGCUAACUACGUG